rnacentral:rRNA from 1 species
UACAGAGGUCUCAAGCGUUGUUCGGAUUCAUUGGGCGUAAAGGGUGCGUAGGCGGGUUUUUAAGUCAGGGGUGAAAUCCUGGAGCUCAACUCCAGAACUGCCUUUGAUACUGAAAAUCUUGAGUUCGGGAGAGGUGAGUGGAACUGCGAGUGUAGAGGUGAAAUUCGUAGAUAUUCGCAAGAACACCAGUGGCGAAGGCGGCUCACUGGCCCGAUACUGACGCUGAGGCACGAAAGCGUGGGGAGCAAACAGG